rnacentral:rRNA from 1 species
GAUGAACGCUGGCGGCGUGCCUAAUACAUGCAAGUCGAGCGAACAGAUGAGGAGCUUGCUCCUCUGACGUUAGCGGCGGACGGGUGAGUAACACGUGGAUAACCUACCUAUAAGACUGGGAUAACUUCGGGAAACCGGAGCUAAUACCGGAUAAUAUAUUGAACCGCAUGGUUCAAUAGUGAAAGACGGUUUUGCUGUCACUUAUAGAUGGAUCCGCGCCGCAUUAGCUAGUUGGUAAGGUAACGGCUUACCAAGGCAACGAUGCGUAGCCGACCUGAGAGGGUGAUCGGCCACACUGGAACUGCGACACGGUCCCGACUCCUACGGGAGGCAGCAGUAGGGAAUCUUCCGCAAUGGGCGAAAGCCUGACGGAGCAACGCCGCGUGAGUGAUGAAGGUCUUCGGAUCGUAAAACUCUGUUAUUAGGGAAGAACAAAUGUGUAAGUAACUAUGCACGUCUUGACGGUACCUAAUCAGAAAGCCACGGCUAACUACGUG